AGACCCGAAACCCGGUGAUCUAGCCAUGGGCAGGUUGAAGGUUGGGUAACACUAACUGGAGGACCGAACCGACUAAUGUUGAAAAAUUAGCGGAUGACCUGUGGCUGGGGGUGAAAGGCCAAUCAAACCGGGAGAUAGCUGGUUCUCCCCGAAAGCUAUUUAGGUAGCGCCUCGUGAAUUCAUCUCCGGGGGUAGAGCACUGUUUCGGCUAGGGGGCCAUCCCGGCUUACCAACCCGAUGCAAACUGCGAAUACCGGAGAAUGUUAUCACGGGAGACACACGGCGGGUGCUAACGUCCGUCGUGAAGAGGGAAACAACCCAGACCGCCAGCUAAGGUCCCAAAGUCAUGGUUAAGUGGGAAACGAUGUGGGAAGGCCCAGACAGCCAGGAUGUUGGCUUAGAAGCAGCCAUCAUUUAAAGAAAGCGUAAUAGCUCACUGGUCGAGUCGGCCUGCGCGGAAGAUGUAACGGGGCUAAACCAUGCACCGAAGCUGCGGCAGCGAACGUAUCACCCAAGACAACUUUACGGAGUUGACGAUUGACGGAGCGAAGCGACGUCAAAGCGUUCAUUAAAGUCGAGUUGGCUUAGGGAUACGUUCGUUGGGUAGGGGAGCGUUCUGUAAGCCUGUGAAGGUGUGUCGUGAGGCAUGCUGGAGGUAUCAGAAGUGCGAAUGCUGACAUAAGUAACGAUAAAGCGGGUGAAAAGCCCGCUCGCCGGAAGACCAAGGGUUCCUGUCCAACGUUAAUCGGGGCAGGGUGAGUCGACCCCUAAGGCGAGGCCGAAAGGCGUAGUCGAUGGGAAACGGGU
rnacentral:rRNA from 2 species